UAAUAAAUUGUUCUAAACUGACUUGCCUAGUUAAAUAAAGGUUAAAUAAAUAAAUACAAAAUUAGAGCUAUCCAACCUUAACACGCCUGCUGUCCCCCACACAGACCUCUCCCUUUAUAGAUCUCCAGACAAAUCAAAUCCAAUUGAAUUUGUCACAUACACGUGUUUAGCAGAUGCAUCUCAGAGGUCUUGUGUUUCUCGCUCCAACAGUGCAGUAAUAUCUAACAAAUAAUAUCUAACAAUUUCACAACAAUACACACAAAUCUAAAGUAAAGGAAUGGAGCAAUGUCAGAGCGACAUAGACUAAGAUACAGUAGAAUAGGAUAUAAUGCAGUAAAUUCAUAGGAGAUGAGUAAAUGCAAAAUAUGUAAACAUUAUUAAAGUGACUAGUGUACCAUUAUUAAAGCGGCCAGUGAUUUCAAGUCUAUGUAUAUAGGGCAGCAGCCUCUAAUGUGCUAGUGAUGGCUAUUUGAGGCCUUGAGAUAAAAGCUGUUUUUCAGUCUCUCGGCCCCAGCUUUGAUGCACCUGUACUGACCUCGCCUUCUGGAUGAUAGCGGGGUGAACAGGCAGUGGCUAGGGUGGUUGUUGUCCUCGAUGAUCUUUUUGGCCUUCCUGGGACAUCGGGUGGUGUAGGUGUCCUGGAGGACAGGUAGUUUGCCCCCGGUGAUGCAUUGGGCAGACCGCACCACCUUCUGGAGAGCCCUGCAGUUGCGGGCGGUGCAGUUGCAUACCAGACAGUGAUACAGCCUGACAGGAUGGUCUCAGUUGUGCAUCUGUAAAAGUUUGUGAGGGUUUUAGGUGCCAAGACAAAUUUAUUCAGCCUCCUGAUGUUGAAGAGGUGCUGUUGCGCCUUCUUCACCACACUGUCAAUUUCAGUUUGUCAGUGAUGUGUACGCCGAGGAACUCAAAGCUUUCCACAUUCUCCACUGUGGUCCCGUAGAUGUGGAUAGGGAGGUGCUACCUCUGCUGUUUCCUGAAGUCAACAAUCAGCUCCUUUGUUUUGUUGACGUUGGGUGAGAGGUUAUUUUCCUGGCACCACACUCCCAGGGCCCUCACCUCCUCCCUGUACGAUGUCUCGUCAUUGUUGGUAAUCAGGCCUACUAAGGUUGUGUCAUCUGCAAACUUGAUGAUAGAGUUGGAGGUGUGUGUGGCCACGCAGUCAUGGGUGAACAGGGAGUACAAGAGGGGGCUGAGUAUGCAUCCUUGUGGAGCCCCAGAGUUGAGGAUUAGCGAAGUGAAGGAGUUGUUUCCUACCUUCACCAACUGGGAGCGGCCCGUCAGGAAGUCCAGGACCCAGUUGCACAGGGCGGGGUUCAGACCCAGGGCCUUGAGCUUAAUGAUGACCUUUGAGGGUACUAUGGUUUUGAAUGCUAAGCUAUAGUUCAUGAACAGCAUUCUUACAUAGUUAUUUCAGUUAUCACUACAGUACUGACCAUGUCCACCAUCAUUACUGGGGUGUCCUCCUCCAUGCCACAAGUAAGUGUAAUUGUGUGUGUGUGUGUGUGUGCGUGCGUGCCUGCAUGCGUGUUUGUUUGUGUGUGUGUGUGCGUGUGUACACUGCAUGUGUGUGUGAUUCAGGUGUCCUAACGUGAAGGUGGUGGACAUCUACCUAUGGACCAGCUUCCUGUUUGUGUUCCUGUCAGUGAUAGAAUACGCUGCUGUCAACUACUGUUCUAUGCUAGAGGAGAUGAGACGACUGAAUAGAGGAAAGGUCAGAGGUCAUUAAUUUCCAGGAUAUUCCAGCUCCCAACCUCUUAUAACGCCAGCCAGGCCAUGGCCUUCGACGGCUGUUUCCACGACAAUGACAUCAAGUGGACCCUGUUCACCCAUCUGUCAAACUCCCACGGAACUCCACCCCAGAACCCUGAGGAUCCCCCCCCCCAACCGAGGGGACAUGUCUCCACCGACAACGGCUGGUGCGGCAGAACGUGGACCUGCUACUUACCUACACCUACUUGAUCGACUCGUACUCCUCGCAUGGCCUUCACUAUGUCCUACCUGCUAUUCAAUACCAUCUACUGGAAUAUGAACUCCUCCUGAGGGGCCCUACUGAGCAUACUACUGGGACCCUACUGACUAUAACUCCUCCUGAGGGACCCUACUGAUCAUACUGCUGGGACCCUACUGACUAUAACUCCUCCUGAGGGACCCUACUGAUCAUACUGCUGGGACCCUACUGACUAUAACUCCUCCUGAGGGACCCUACUGAUCAUAGUGCUGGGACCCUACUGACUAUAACUCCUCCUGAGGGACCCUACUGACUAAUAACUCCUCCGAGGGGCCCUACUGACUAUAACUCCUCUCGAGGGACCCUAUACUGCUGGGACUCUACAGAGUAUGGACUCCACCUGAGGGACCCUUCUGAGUAUGGCCUCCUCCGAGGGGCCCUACUGACUAUAACUCCUCUCGAUGGACCCUAUACUGCUGGGACUCUACAGAGUAUGGACUCCACCUGAGGGACCCUUCUGAGUAUGGCCUCCUCCUGAGGGGCCCUU
ensembl:lncRNA